rnacentral:lncRNA from 1 species
AGUGCGACGCCUUUAGGUGCAAGAAGUUCGUGUUGCCGUCACCGCCACCUCCUCCGCCUUCACCACCGCCACCAACCCCAUCUCCUCCGCCACCUUCACCUUCACCACCGCCGCCGUCGCCUCCUCCACCAACCCCGUCUCCUCCGCCACCUUCACCACCGCCGCCGUCGCCUCCUCCACCAACCGCGUCUCCUCCACCACCUUCACCUCCACCCCCGUCCCCAUCACCCCCACCUCCGUACUACGAGGUCUCACCUGAGGAACGGUACCUUUCGCCGCCACCUCCAGCGUACCAAGAGCCGACAAC